GUGACCUUCCCCAGCUCGUCAGUGAAUGGCCUGCUUGUUUUCUUCCCGAGGGAGGGGGGCUGCCUUGGGGAUGUGAAAAGUACCGUUAUGUAAGGGAGGGAUUUUUCCAUGCUUCUGGGAUGCCAAAAGAAGCGCUGUGAGAGGGCGUGGGUGAAAGAAAGAAGAAAAAAGAAAAAAGGAGAAAAUGCUUGCAGGAAUAAAGCAGAGGUCUGCCCUACCGCAGCUCUGGCGGAGCUCUGCAUGGCAGAGAGAAAAAGCUUUUCAUUUUUCAGAUGCAGCCUUUUAAAUCAGAAAGGAGGAGGAGGUACGGCUUCAGCCUGCCCUGCCUUCCAGCACCAGUACCCCGCACUGUGUGUCAGACGGCAGGGAAGAACAAAGGGCUGGUGGUCACAUCCUGGUUGGCACAGAGCACGGGGAGGGGUCGGCGAGGGCCGUGCUGGACCGCUGCGUGGCUUUGCUGUAUGUGAUGGGAAGGAUCCUCCCAGCUGCAAUUGCUCCGUCUGAAGAACGAAGUGCGGCCCUUCCGAAGCUUCUUGUCUUUGUCCCGCUGCAGCUCUGGAGUUUCAGCACAAGCCACACCAACAGGCUCCCAGCACGGCCGUGGGCUCUAAUUGCUCCUGCCCGGCGGCUCCAUUUAAUCUGAGCCUGCAGCUGGCUCGCAGGUGGCUUUGUCUCCAGCUUUGUUGCCUUUGGGGAUGAAUACCGUACACUGGAAAGAAGUCACUGGCCUUGUUGUAGUGGCUCAGAUGGACUUCAGAAGGAAGAAGAGCUGUCUUGUGCAUCAGAAGCAGGCUAUUUCACAAUGCGGGGGAAAAAAAUACUGUUCGUGUUUUUUGGAGGCUGAAGAAUGGGUGGAGGCCAAAGAAUGGAGGUUAAAAAAACUGGAAGCUGCAGAGUGGAGGCCAAAAAAAUUGAACGCCAUUUUUUGGAGCCUGCAGAGUGGAGGACGUUUUUGGAGCUUGUUGGAGGCCCAAGAAUGGAAGCUGAAGAAUGGCAGCUGAAAAACUGGAUGCUGGAUAGUUGAGGAACUCUUUCAGAGAACGUUUUUUGCAGGUUAAAAAAUCAGAGGCCGAUGGAUGGAAAUGGUUGGAGGCCACGGAAUGGAGGCUGAAAAAUUAGAAGCCAGAUAAUGGAAUUCAUUUUUGGAGGCUAUUUUAUGGAGGCUGAAGAAUGGUGCCUGCAGAAUAGAGAACGCUUUCUGGAUGCUGUUCAUUGGAGGUCCAGGAAUGGAAGCCAAAGCAUGAUGGUUGAAAAAUUGGAUGCCAUUUUUUGCAUGUGGAGGAAUGGGAGCUGAACAAUGACAGUUGAAAAACUGGAGGCUGAAGAAUGGAAACCACGAGAGGGAGAACAUUUUUUUGGAAACCAUUUGUUGGAGGCCUAACCAUGAAAGUCAAAGAAUAGCUGAAGGAUUGAAGUUAUUUUUUGGAGUCUGUUUUUGGAUGCUGUUUUUAUAGGCUAGUUUUGGAGGCUGAAAAAGAGGAGCUGUAGCAGAAAUGCUAAGUCACAGCUUGAACCAGUGAUUGAGCACCUGGUAGGAAGGCAAGGCCCACCAAGGGGAGCUCGGGUGUACACAACGCAUCUGAGUGACCAGAAGGGCUGGAGCCAGGAUCCACCCCUUCCCAGACCUCAUUUAGGGGUUGGCAGGGGAGUUGAGAGCAUCUUUUGAAUUUGCUUUUGAAGUGGUUGCUUUCAGGAAGCCGUAGCCAAUCAGAGGCUGCAACUCAGAGAAAGCAUUCCCAACCACCGUGAUUUCUGAAAAUAAUGCCCCGGUGCUGAUCUGCUGGAAGUGCUGUAAGGGCUCUGUAGGUUGGCUCAAGCAGAGGAGACCUCAGUGCCCGCGGUGGCUGAACUACAGCGGUAAGGCGCUGCCAAAGCACUGCGCUGAGCGGAUCGUCGAUAAAAUGGACUCCAUGCCCAAGCUGAAGAUCUUUGUGAUGUUGCUGUCUCUGGUUACUUUCACAGCCAUGGUGAUACUGAAUGCUGGGAAUGCCACUGGGCUUUUCAAAGGUCUGUUCCGGACAACCCCUGGCAACAUCUCAGAGAAGUACAGCACUGACUUCACACCGGCCGGCUGGACUUUCCUCAUCUGGAAUGUCAUCUAUGCCUGGCAGCUGGCGUGGCUCCUGUAUGCUCUGUCAGGGAUCUGCCGGAGAAAUGAACUUGGAUACGUCUUCAUGAAGCCGGACUUGCUGCCAAUACCUUUUUAUGUGGCAUGGAUUCUGAAUAAUGGCCUCAAUGUUGGAUGGCUGUUUCUAUGGGACAGAGAAUACCUCCUCCCAGCCCUGCUGUUGCUGGCAGCCCUCACCUUUACCACAGGUGCUGCUCUCUUCAUCUCGCACAGAGCCUUGAGUAUCCAUUCCACGUGGUUCAUGAAGGGUCACCAAGCUGAUCUCUGGCUCAUCCGGAUCCUAGUGCAGAAUGGGCUGGCACUGUAUGCCACAUGGACCACCAUCGCCACUCUGCUGAACUUUGCUGUUGUGUUGAUCUACAAGUGGGACGUGUCCAAUGAGACAGCAACGACUGCCUGUCUGAGCAUCCUUACUCUCAUGCUUGUCAUGUGGUUUUGCCAGGAGAACUUCUUUCUCGAUAAGUACGUCCGUUAUAACCUCACCAUCUACCCAGUGGUCAUAAUAGCUCUGACUGGCAGCAUGUGCAAGGACUUCUCGGUAUCCUCCCCAACCACCAACGGCGUUUUUAUAGUUGUACUGCUGGCACUGACUUGUUUCAUCUUUGCUGUUCGGCUGGCAUUAGUCAUAUGGAAGCACAGCAAUGAACCAGUGGAAGCACCAGCACCACCACCACAGCCAUCAAGCACAGCAGCCUGAGACCUCUGGCAUGGUGAUGCUAUGUCAGAUGCUUUAGAGGGAGAAGUAAGAGCUGAGCAUCCUGCUUCCACUGGUCCUUUCUUCCAGUAGCAAUUACCCUAUUUUUUUAGCUAUUUUUCUGUUUUCUUUUUUUUUUUUUUAAUAUGCUGGAUUAGUAAGGCUUGUGCCUGCAAACCCAUCCUCCUCCCCUGUUCUCUGAGCUCAGCUAUUUGCAGCCCCACCUCAAACAUGCACCUUCCUCUGUUUCAUUUUUGGUCAGUGGAGGAAGAGGCCCUUUGGAUGAGUAGCUCUGUAUACAUUUGUGAUGACAGAGCUGCUCCUUCCAGUGUGAGGGGGGCUGUCAGCAGAUGCUUGGCACGGAGAGUUGCCCUCACCCUUUCCUGGGAGCUAUGGUGGGCAUGGGAGGAGGGAUGGCUGAAUACUUCUGACACAGCUGCAAGUCUUCGGCCUAUUUCAGGUUGCUCUAACUCUAGGAACUGACAACCUGUUCAUUUCUCGGCACACAGUAUUAUCUCUGUGACUUUCUUACUGAAGCUUGUCACUGUGUCGGUGCCUCCAUCCAUGGCCCCAAAGUAACAGCAGAUCUGUGUCCCCUACCCCACUCCUCCUUUCAGACAGGGGAGAUCCAGGUGAUAUGGGAGCAGUGGGCUACUUGUCCUGAGCUGUGCCCAGUUGGUCACUGCCUCCUUGCAGCCCUUCUGCUGGGAGAUCAGCCAUUCAGACACCACCAUACCUGAUGGAGGGUGGAGCCUGCUGCUUCAUGGAACGCUUCUUGCAUUCUGAGCUGGGGUAGAGUGAAUUCUUCCUGGAUCAGUGCUUUAUAAUGUGGCUUCACCACUGUGGGCUUACUUUGGGAAGCCUGAAUGAGUACUGACUGGAUUGUCAGACCUCCACCUCUAUUUGCUGUGCCUACUAGAUUUGAUGGUGCCUUGUUGGUGUCUGGAAAGUCUUCCUCGAUGACUGGUGCUUGGAAAUGCUGAAUAUCUUGCAGUACUAUUACGAAGGUGAAUUCUACUAAAACAACAUGUUAUUGUCUACAUUUAAUGAAGAGCAAAGUCUGUAUUAUGCUGUUCUUGUCAUUCCAUCACAUUUUUAAAUAAAGCGGCAACUGCCAACACUUUUCAUGCAACCACAGAAACAUUAAGGCUGGAAAAGACCUCUAGGAUCAUCUAGUCCAACCACCAACCGUUCCCACCAUGCCCAUUGCCACAUCUAGCCCUUCUACUAACUCUGCAUGAAGCUCUAAGUAAAUGACUUUUGGAAAUCAUGCUUAUAACAGGGGACCUGACUUCUACUUUUCCUGCAUCUGCUUUGCUAUCUGUGGUGCAGGGUUAGGACCUCUUGGCUUUAAACGAGCUGAAAGGAGCUCCUCACUCCUCAUUAUAAGUGCUGUAGCACCACGUUCAUCUUGUGCAGACCUCCCAGCAAGGAAUCCCCUGAUGACUGUCAUGAAAUGCUGGUGCUGAGUGAGCCCCUGGGAUGGCCCCUCACAAACAAGCUGCUGGCUCCAAGCUGCCUUCCACCACCAUUCCCUGGAGCUGGGGCAGGCAGACAUUCCCACAGCACAGUGCUCCCUGCCAGCAUUGGGAAAAGCAGCUUUCCUUGCAUCCAUGGCAGGAACAGGAGCCUAAAAAUAUCAUCACCCUGCCUGCCCCUUUCCUUUUAGCUGCGGGGAGAGCAGGGCUGAAAACUAGCGGUGUAAGCCUUCCCAUUUGCUAUGUGCUAUUUUUAAAGGUUGUUUCUUUCUGAAAUGCCUUGUUUCCACUUGUUUUCUAGAACCAGAAAUACCAAUGAUGUGCAUUUUCCCCCACAACAGAUCACUCUUCCAACAACGCUGCGUUUCACGAAGCCACGAGCCUGCCAACUUUUUGGCACAAAUAGUCCGCCUGGCCUUUGUUUCCAUGAGCAAUUAUGGGAUGGGGUGAAUUUUACUGGAUUUAAAAAUUCUUGGAAAGCUGAUGGCAUUAAGAACCCAAAGCCUGAAAAAAUGGGUUUGUUUCUAAAACCAAUAAUUCCAAGCCUUGGCAAGAGCCUGUGUGUCUCUCUUAGGCCAGUGCAGGGUGCAAGCUGGAAUAAAACAAAAUUAAAUUGAGGCUGCCAGGGAGGAGAAGUAGAGUCAUAGGAUAGACUCAGAAUCAUGGGGAAAGACCACUAAGCUCACCAAGUCGGACCCCAACCCAUCCCCAUCGUGCCCACUGACCACGUUGCUCAGUGCCGUAUCUUCAUAGCUCAUGGAUGCCUCCAGGGAUGGUGACCUGCCCACUCCCUGGGCAGCUGUGCCACUGCCUCACCACUCCUUCAGAAGGGAACAGGAGCAACCUCUCUGGGGAGCAUGGUGAAGAUCACUGGAUAAAAGCGCCAGAGACAUACAGCAAUGAUGAAAGGGAUACGCACCCUUUGCUAUGCAUGCAGUCUAAACAGGCUUGGGCCAUCCCGAGCCCUUUGAAAACUGUUAGAUGUUUUAAAGCUAAAUAUUUAUUUUAUCUGUGCAGAGCCGGGACAGCCCCGUGUCGAGAGAUUAGCACAGCUCCUUCUGCCAAAGGCAUCUCGGCGCGGAGUCGCAGGCUUGGGUGCAACUCACACAUGGGCUGAACAUGUGGGAAAAUGAUGCUGGAGGAGCCCAGGGUCCUGACCCUGCCCCAGCAGAGCCCUGGCAGCAGCAGGCAGCAGCCCCAUGAGUGUGCCAUGGGCUCCCCCUGCACUCUUCACCUCCAAGCCCUGAAUAUCCACGCAGGAAAGCUGUGUUUUUUCUUGCCUCUUUGGGAACAAAUGAGCUUAAGGAUGCUUGCCCGGUACUUAACCCAUUGAGAAAAGAGCUUGCUUGCUUGGGAUGGGUCCAGUUUGGAGUGCAGGAAGUGAUGGUGAUGUGAUCUAGAGACUUGGUUUCUCUUGAUGUUGUUCUAACAGCUUAAAAAAACAGACUGGACUGGAAAUAAUUGAACUUAAGAGACCCAAGACAUGAAUUAGAGAGAAUAAAUAGCUCGUGUUUGUGCCCAUGCUCAAGAGCUGCCUUGCAGAACGGGGUCACCAUGUAGCUGGUGGGGCUGUGGGCCUUAGAGGUGAUCAGAGGUCCCAAAUCUGGUGUGGGCUUUGCAAGGUCUCCAAUGCAGGGUGGACCUUUGCAGUCCAUGCCCAAACUGAACAGGCACUGUGCAUGGACUAACCAGUACCCAUGUGUGAAUUCAUUGGGUGCUCAUGCAAAAGCAAAGAGGGAGCGUGGAUGCAUGUGGGUUUGGUGCUAAUGCAUGGAUUCCUCUGGUGCAGGAAUUCAUUGGUUGCUCGUACUUGAGCUCUGUGGGUGCUCAUGCAUGAAGUAAUUGGGCUCAUACAUAAAUUAAUUGGGUGCUCAUGCAUCAGCUAAUUGGGUUCUUGUGAACGAAUUAAUCGGUUGUUCUUGCAUGAAUUAAUUUGGUGCUUAUGCACGAGCUGUUUGAGCUCUUGUGCAUAAAUUAAUUGAGCACUCAUGCAUGAGUUAGAUGAGUGUUCAUGCACAAACAAUAAUCAGGUGCUCAUGCAUGGAUUAUUUUGGCACUCGUGCAGGAGUUAACGAGGCUGCAACCCCCGCUGUUGAUGCCCACUGCCCCGCUGACCUGCGAUGACCGAGCUCCAUUCCAAUGCAUCACAUCACAUCCAUUUGCCAAGGGUGCAGAGCACCAUCUAGUGAAUAUCGGUGAGGAAACCAUCGCUGCAAACCCUGAGAGGCUCAGGGUGAACCAGACAGCUAAAUCAACAUUACCACUGUUUAGUUUUUUUUUCUCUCUCUCUUUCUUUUAAGAUGCAUGACCUCUCCCUACCUGCAACUUGAGCCCAAGUAGCUGUAGAGCUGCAGUGCCCUUGAAGAGCCUGGGAGAGGCCGCAGCCCAGCGACCUGCCACCUGCAGUCACUCUAAUUAAAACCUCCAGGAUGAGUUCACUUCUCUUGAUUUUUUUUUCAUGGACGUGUUUGAAAUCUCCCAUUGCUUUGGGCAGUCUGUGCUGUAAUGAAG
ensembl:lncRNA